rnacentral:lncRNA from 12 species
CUUGUCUUUCCUCAGACUUCACCUUUCCUUAAGAAGCCACUUCCUACGUGUAUUUCUCCUCACUACAUGGGUGGAUUUCACCCACUGGCCACCUCUUCCCUGUUUUCUUCCCUCUUCUAAGGCCUCACUGCCAGCCUUUUUCCUUUAAAUGUCUUCCUAUUUCCUAAUGCCACUCAAUCUGUGCUUUCUUCUGAAUUUGAACACCAAGAGGCAUCAGCAGUGACCAGCAACAAUGACGCCUAAGAGAACAGGUUAUUUGAGCUGGGAGAGACGUCAGUGAAACCAUCUUAGUAUUUGAUUGGCCUUUUGUUAAGAGAAUAGUGACUCUUUAAGCAGAGCCUGAGAGAGACACUGGCCCCUUUUUAGAGUGGACAGGUUAGGAUGGCAGGUCUUGAAAGGGCAAGGUUGGUAGCUGAAACUAGGUGUGCCACAUACCUGGACUGUCAGGGGGUCUGAGAGACAUCUCGUGUAGGAGUGGGUGGGGUAUCAGCUGAGAGUCCAGUGGCGCAGGAAGGGUGAGCAAGAUCCAACCCGAGGCUGAGGGGACCUGAUUGGUGGUGAGGUAAAGCUGGGGGUAGCUACGGAGAGAGCACACAGGACCUGGCAGGCAAAAGUCAGGAGCCAGGGGGCACCUGAGCAAGAAGCUGAGAAAGAUGUUCAGGAGGAGUCCGGAAGAGAAUUCAGAUACAGAGCCAAACAAGGUGGGAGACACACCAGCACGGGGCUGCGAGGCCCAGCAGCCUGGACACGGGCCAAGAAGUCAAGAACUGUUGACACCCACGUCUCCACUCUCCUACUGACACCAGCGACCACCCAGCCCAGCGCAACCAUAUGGCCUCUUGUUUUCCUGAUGUAUGAGUGUCACCGUCAGUGGUGGAGACAGAAGAUUGACCACCGUGGAGGGCCAUCAUUUCCAUCCGUUUCCUUCCAUGCUACCCAGCAAGCAGCAAAGGAAAUUAAACCACAACCCUCUCGAGGCCGCCCCCGGCGAUCGUGCUCCUGGAAUAACAUGGAAGUCUCUGGCAGCAGGUCUGGGGCGCGGCUCAUAACUCAGCCCUUGCGGGGCGGCUGAUGCAGGUGUCUGGAGGUGGUUGAGACCCUGGUGGCAGCAGUUAAGGUGACACAUGUGACCUGCACGGGGGAACAAAGUCUCAGUUAGGCGGUGAUGAAAUAAG